rnacentral:rRNA from 1 species
GUUAUGUUCUUUAAAUUUAAAAAAUUUGGCGGUGUUUUARUCUAGUUAGAGGAACCUGUGUUAURAACGAUACAACACGUAUUAUUUUACUUAUUUUAGUAGAUCAGCUKGUAUACCGUCMUUAUAAGAUAAUUUAGGAGAGAAUAUUAUUGAGAUCAUAUUAWUGAGUAUAUUAGAUCAAGGUGCAGCUUAUGGGUAAGCAAACAUGGGUUACAAUMAAAUUUAUUUAAUAUGAAUUAAGUGUUUAAAUAUAUUUAUGAAGGAGGAUUUAAUUGUAAGGGGGGAGCAKUGAGCUUUUCUGAUAAAAGCUC